AUUGAACGCUGGCGGCAUGCUUUACACAUGCAAGUCGAACGGCAGCGCGGGCUUCGGCCUGGCGGCGAGUGGCGAACGGGUGAGUAAUGCAUCGGAACGUGCCCAGUAGUGGGGGAUAGCCCGGCGAAAGCCGGAUUCAUACCGCAUACGACCUGAGGGUGAAAGCGGGGGACCGAAAGGCCUCGCGCUAUUGGGGCGGCCGAUGUCGGAUUAGCUAGUUGGUGGGGUAAAGGCUUACCAAGGCGACGAUCCGUAGCUGGUCUGAGAGGACGACCAGCCACACUGGGACUGAGACACGGCCCAGACUCCUACGGGAGGCAGCAGUGGGGAAUUUUGGACAAUGGGGGCAACCCUGAUCCAGCCAUGCCGCGUGCGGGAAGAAGGCCUUCGGGUUGUAAACCGCUUUUGUUCGGGAAGAAAUCCUCUGGGCUAAUACCCCGGGGGGAUGACGGUACCGGAAGAAUAAGCACCGGCUAACUACGUG
rnacentral:rRNA from 1 species